rnacentral:lncRNA from 1 species
UGAAAUUCAAUAGCUGGUAAUUGACUGACAUAUCCAGAUAAAAUCGACCCUACGACCAAAUUAACUGUCAACAUCGACUAAACCUAAUUAAUCGAUUAAUUAACUCGGUUGUAAGUGACUUAUGCUAUCCCCUAGUGAAUGAUCAAUGUCGUUUGAUUUGAUUUAAAUAUAUACACAAAUCAUAUGCUAAACCAAUAUACUUUAUUGAAUAUAUAUAUAUAUAUAUAUAUAUAUAUAUAAGCUACAUCUGGAAAAUGAGAAAUUUGGCCAAAUAUAAUAUUAUAGAUCAAGAAACAAAAAGACAGACAACAUAAACAAGAAACAAAUAAUUAUUAAAAAGUAAUCCGAUGAUGGUUGGAUACCCAGGUAAACUGGUCACCUUAUCAAAUCAUCCAAUGUAGCAAGCAAGUCAAUCAAAACAUAUGAGAAAACAAUCCACCACCAUGCUCUGUAAUGUAUCACACAAUUGGAUCCCACCCUUAAACACGAUUAAGUUGGGAUUCCAUAACACACCAAUUUGAAAUCCCACCCAAAUCCGAACCCGAUUUCAAGCUAGAUCGGUUCCUAUGUAUCACCACAGAGCGGUUCCAAGACAUUCAUGACGAUGGCACAGCAACCUGUGGCAUCAGCACCAUCACCAUUCCCUGACAAAAAAGGAAGGCAGCGUGGGAGGCCGACUAAGCCAUCAGCACGGGUUAUGGCCCCUUGAGCCAGGGGUGCACCCACCACCAUGCACAACACCAACAGACAUGCAAGCUUAAGGGACAUUGAGCUAGCCAUAUGGAUUAAUCACAAGAAAAACAAACUUGUAAGGAAAAUGGUUGCUUGGAGUAUUGCUGAUUGUUGCGUGGUUAGGGGUUGAGGGUAGGAGGGUUUUUAUAGCCAAAAGUUAAGUUUUUAUUUUCUUUUUUUCAGCUUGGUGGUAGCAGGGAUUCUUUUGUUUUCCUCUGUACUUUUGGUUGUUGUUUUUGGGUGAUUCCUUUAGGCUUGUUUGCUGCUGUUUUUAGGCUGUGUCUCUGUCAAAACAGAUGUACUGAUUUUGUGUGUGCCAACUUUCUUUCAAUUGAAUCAUAAUGGCCCUUCCCAAAAUAGUUAACCUAAAAAUUUGCGUACCGAAGUAAACCCCUAUAGUUGCUUACUUAUAAAACAGAAAACCUUAUCUUUCAUAAAGAUGGCUAAACCUACAACACGUGACAUUGGGGUCGGCAAUCGGGCAACAGAAGCGUGCGUCGUUUCUAAUCCGGAUUCUGAUUUAGAGGCAUUCAAUCAUAAUCCACCGCAUGGUAGCUUUGCGCCACUAACUUUUUAACUAAGUCCGAUGACCAUCAGUAAGAUAAAACUAACCUGUCUCACGACGGUCUAAACCCUUGUGAAUAUUUAAUCCAACAAUAGGCAAAUAUAUAGAUUAACGAUUUUCAAUACAUUUUAAAAUAAAUAAAAUAUUGAACUCUUGUGAUUGAUUUGGUGGUCAAGGGUUAUUCACCCAUAAAACCUACCCGAAAUAAUAUUAAGAUAGGUGUAACUUAACAAACAAAUGCCUUUAAAAUAAUAACAAAAUUAACAAAAAAACAAGAGCUAUACAAUAUCUAAAAAUUAAUAAAACCCCUAACCCCUCUCCGCCAACGGAUUAGGGUCACGGGCAUUAUUAUCAAAUCAAUCAUAAUUAAAAUGCAAGCUAAUUCAUUCAAAUCACAGUAAAAAUUACCCAUUUAGUCCUAAAUACGAGUUUACAGGACCCUAAAAUGAUUUAAGAACAAAUGGGGGCUAAUUUGAAACAAUUCUAGAAGUUUAGGGUGAAAUCUCAAAAUGCCUAGAAACAGGGGACACACGAUUGUGUGGAAUGCCCCAGACCGUGUGACUUUCGAAGUUGGGACACAUGGCCGUAUCCCAGCCCGUGUCUCUAUCCGUGUAACUCAUUGACUUGAGAUACACGACCGUAUGUCAGCCCGUGUGGAAACUACACCUAUACUAUUUUUCAACACGCUCAGGGCACAUGCCUGUGUGUGACACACGGCCGUGUGAUAAUAACAACAAAACAAUAACAAUAUAAUAGUGAAAUGACAAUAAAACAGUAGAAAAACAACAACAACAAUUUUUUUUUGUAAAUCUGGGUUGUGCUCGGACCAAAAAAUUCUUACUCGAGGCCCAAUCCAUUUCCUAAACAGGCCAUAAAAACCUUAUUUUGUGUGUCUCAGCUUUCUUUCAAUUGAAUCAUAAUGCGCCCUCCCAAAAUAAUUAACCUAAAAAUUUGCAUAAGUAAACCCUAUAAUUGCUUACUUAUAAAAAGAAAACUUUUUAUUUCAUAAAGAUGGCUAAACCUACGACAUGUGUCAUUGGGGUCAGCAAUUGGGCGACGGACGCGUGCAUCGUUUCUAAUCCGAAUUCUGACUUAGAGGCGUUCAGUCAAAAUCCAGUGCAUGAUAGUUUUGCGCCACUGGCUUUUCAACUAAGCGUGAUAACCAAUUGUGCGAAUCAAUUGUUCCUCUCAUACUAGGUUGAAUUACUAUUGUGAUGCGACCAUCAAUAUGGUAAAAUUAACCUGCCUCACGACGAUCUAAACCCAACUCACAUUCCCUACUGGUGGGUGAACAAUCCUAACAUUUGGUGUAUGAAAGAAAAUAUUUUCUUUUUAUAAGUAAGCAUUUAUGGGCAUUGAUGUUGAAUGCUUUGCCGUUAUAGGUAAUAUGAUUAAUAUGAAAGAAAAGUUUUCUCUUUAUAAGUAAGAAAUUAUAGUGUUUAGUUUCUACGCAAAAUUUUAGGUUAACUAUUUAUAUAUAUUUGUGGGAGGGAGCAUUAUUAUUCAAUUGAAAGAAAGCACACACAAAAUCGAAAUUCCAUCACUUCAAGUAAGAUUGAUUCCUAAUAAUAUUCUAUCGGUACCCCUAAAAUAGAAAAUUAUCUAUUAAGGUCCUUUAGAAAUUUUAAAAAUUUAAAUUAAAAAAAAUAAAAUUAUACUUUAGCCCUCUUAAAAAUAAUAAAAGUUUGAUUUAAUCCUUUAAAAAUUUUAAAGAACUAAUCUAUUAAAAAUUAUAAUUUAAUUUCGAUACUCUAAACAAAUUUUCUAACUUCGCCCCGCACAAGAAACUACAAGCUUUUAAGUUGAAAUAUAACAUCUAUAGACAAGUUAGCCAUUACCAGGUUUCCAAGAAUUCAAGAAUUCUUCUGUAUAUUUACAAAAUAAAAAAAGGAUGUAAGUGCUUUGUAUAUUUUGGAAGUACAAUUAAUUGAUAAAAAUAUCGUGGAACUGGAAGCCCGUGUACUAGGAGUCAGAUUGCAUUUUGCCAUUUUUAUUCAAAAAUGGACAAAUUAGUCCCUGUACGUUAGAUAAAAAAGCAAUUUGAUAUUUACUGUUAAAAAUUUCAUCCAUUUCUACAGUUAAAAACCAACGUGGCUAAUAGAAUAAUCAGGCAGUUACACAUAAUGUGCCACGUGUAUCUCAUUCUGACAUACAUGGACUGAUUUUAACAGUAGAAGUGGAUGGGAUUUUUAACAAAAGCACCAAUUUGUUCUUUGAUCUAAUGUAUAAUGACUAAUUUGCCUAUUUUUUUAAUAAAAAUGGUAAAAUUCAAUCUAACUCCUAGUAUAUGGGGCUUCCACAAUCCUUUUACCCUAAUCAAUUAUUGUACAUAUUUUUAUUGAUAUAAUAACAAAUUUAAUCUGCAACAUUUACACAUUUUAUCAACAAUUAUAUAAAAUAUAUAAACAUCAAACGCUAAAUUUAUAAUGAGGCACCCCAAGAAAAUUGAUCGUCUGUUGGUGCAAUCUAGCAUCUUUAUGUUGUAAUAAGGCUUCUGUCCUUAUGGCAUCUGCAAAUUGGUUCUUUGAAACUGCAAGACUCCAUCUAUGGCCUGAAACACGCACCACAAGCUUGGCAUCUAGAGCUAAGUAGUUUUCCUCUGCAACAUGAUUAAGAACUCGGUUUCAUAUGUUUGUUUAUUCAUCUAUGUUAAGGAUUCCAUCCUAAUUUUAUUUCUUGGUUUAUGUGAAUUAUCUUGUAGUCCUUGGAAGUAAUAAUAAUAUGAUGUUCAGUCUUUUCUGGCAACAAUUGUCUCUUAUAUUAGUCUUAAAAUAUCAUGGUCUCUGAAUUAUUUGAUGUGUUGAGGUAAUCUAAAGUUUACAAGGAUUGUUUCUUUCCUAACUGUUACGUAUCAGUAUCGGAACAAAAAUGAUACAUCUGCUGAUACGGUACUGACUACAUUGCUUUAGAUGCACACUCCUUUAGUGGACCUGCUCACUGUUCUGAAUUGAGAACAAGGAUGACAUCAAAAUGAACUGCAAUAACUUAUCGAUGCUGGUCCGAUAUCAGAAUCAUGAUUAUCGAAUUCGUUUAUCGGAUCAUAAUGAGCAGUUUUCAUCUGCUCGUUCAUGGUGAAUAGGGUUCCAUGUAUUCUAUCAAACUGAGGGUGUGAUAUAUCCCCUGCAAUAAAUUCAUGAGUUCUAGUACUCACCUGAAUGAAACUCCAACCCGGCAUCUUUCGAACACCUUUGUCUCUCAUCAUCUUCCUUGCCAUUACAGAUUUAUCCCACCUUCCAGCUGAAGCAUAUAUAUUGGAUAAAAGUGCAUAGUUCCCACUAUUCCAAGGCUCCAAUUGUACCAAAUGGAGCAAAGCUAACUCUCCCAGCUCAGCAUCACCAUGAAUAUUAGAGGCAGCAAGAAGAGACCCCCAUAUAGCUGCAUUUGGCUGAAACGGCAUCUCACUAACUAGUUUGAGUGCUUCUGCUAGAUAACCGGCUCGACCAAGUAAAUCGAUCAUACAACCAUAGUGCUGAAUCUCGUGUUGAAUCCCGUACCUGUAUUUCAUAGCAUGGAAAUAAUAUCGACCCAAGUUCACCAAUCCUACAUGAGCACACGCAGAGAGGACUGCGAUGAAAGUGAUAUCAUUCGGUUUAACUUGAGCCAUUUCCAUCCGAGAGAACAUGUCGAGAGCUUGUGUGCCAAGUCCAUGGAAUGCAAGUGCUGAUAUGAUGGUAGUCCAAGAUAUAACAGUUCUACGGGUCAUAUUCACGAACACAUGCAAAGCAUUGCUUAUAUUGCCUGAAUUCGAAUACAUUUCAAUUAGUGCAUUUUUAAGGGUAACCAUUUGAUCAAACCCACGUUUUUUAACGUAGCCAUGAAUGCAUUCUCCCAAUCGAAUAUGAAAAGCACCCAACUGCGCACAAGCGGAAAGCACAGCCAACAUUGCUAUUUCAUCAGGCACUACAUUCUCCAACUGCAUUUUGCGAAACACAGCGAUGGCUUCGUCGGGACGAUCCAUUUGAGCAUACCCUGCAAUCACUGAUGUCCAAGUAAUAAGUACCGCACCAUCGGUUUGAGUUCGAGGCAUACGGCUCAACAAAUCCAUGGCAGUGUCUGGAUCCCCAACCUUGACAUACCCAGCAAUCAUUGCCAUCCAAACCACAACAUCAUCUGAACAAACAGAGGCGAGAGGCAUUUCAUCAAACACCUUGCGAGCAUCCGAAAUGCGCGCGCACGAGGAAUACAUUUGAAUGAGAGCCGAAACCACGUGAACAUUGGAUUCGAGCCCCGCACAUAUGGCUUGUGAGUGAAUCUGGGUACCCAAACUCAUUGCCCGAAGAUCAACAACCGCCUUCAACGCGAACGGGAAAGAGUAACAGUCGGGUCGCAACCCGACCCGCCCAAUGCUUUUAUAAACAAGGAGAGCCUCAAAGGCGGAGUUGCAGAGUGUCAUCCCCUUGAUCAUGGUGUUGAAAACAUAAAUGUGAGGGUGGCUUUGGGAAUUAACUGAGAAUACGGAGUGGGCAUAGGCGGAGAAGCCCAGAGAAGAACAUGUUUCGAUGAAUUGGCUGAGAAGAAGCUUGUCGUGAUGGAGGGCUGUUCGAACCAUGGAUCCAUGAGCCGUCUCAACAUCUUUAAGGUUAGAGCAAUGCUUUAGUAAGUAAAGCAAUCUCUCUCUCAUUCGCUAAUGCCACUAAGCUAAAAAGCAGCGCCAGUACUGUUCUUUCUUAUUCAUACUGCAAUGGCGGACCUGAGCCAGAUUAUUUGUGCAAGCUUUGGCUUGAGUUGGGAGUUUAUACUUCAGAGAUUUAACUUAAACAUUGGUAGCUAAAUAAUAUAUUUCAUCAUAUAAAAAUAUAUUUAAAUAAAAACUUUGAUCAGGGUACUUGAUUUCGAUUUGAAUGGAACUGCUCGACAUGAAUAUUAUUUACAAUUAAUAUCUAAAUUGAUUUGUUUAAGCUUUUUUCUGGGAUGGUAUAGUUCUUAACCAAAUCAUUAAUUAAUUUUUUAAAUUAAAGAAAUAUCUCUCUUCUUUCAACUUAUAAUUAAUAUUAAUAUAAUAGAAUUUUUCAUGUUUUUAGUCAUCUUUAAUUAAAAAAUAAAAAAUCGAACAUGUAUUCAAUAAUAUUAAAAUACAUACUUUUCAUGAUGUAAAAUUAUAUUAAAAUGAAAAGUUUGAUUAAGCUUAUAAAGUUUGAAUUGAUUAGGAUGCUUGAAUUUGAUUUGAAUGAAACUGCUAAAGUUGAAGGUUAACUUGAUAAUUAUCGGGUAAAAUAUCAAAAAAAACCCUUUUUUUUUAAAUUUACCGAAAUGGGCCCGGCAUUUUAUUAUUUAUCGGAAUGAGCUAUUUUCCCCGAAAUCGCGUCCACAUCAGCGCGAUGUCAGGGGACGUGUCAGCAAAUCGCGUCCACAUCAGCGCGCUUUGCUUACGUGAACACAAAUCGCUCCUACGAGGACGCGGUUUGCUGACACAUCAGCAAAGCGCGCUGACGUGGACGCGAUUUACUGACACAUCAACAAAGCGCGCUGACGUGGACGCGAUUUGCUGACACGUCCCCUGACAUCGCGCUGACGUGGACGCGAUUUCGGGGAAAAUGACCCAUUUCGGUAAAUGAUAAAAUACCGGGUCCAUCUCGAUAAAUUUUAAAAAAUAAGACUUUUUCGGUAUUUUGCCCAAUAUGUAUUACUGUAAUAUGUAGCUCAAAUUAUGUAUUGUAGUUAAUAUUCAUAAUAUUGUAGCUCAAAUUGUCAAUCCGUCUAAACUAUUGUACUAAUAACAUAUAUUAAUGUAAUAUUGAAGAGUUAAUUGAUAAAAAAAUAAAUGCAACCAGUACAAAAAAGAUUCAAAAUUAUUACCAACAAGAUUUGAACCAAGGUACUAAGGGAAAAAAAAACAAGCAUCUUAACCAACUAAGCUAAACUAAUUAAUUGACAUAUUAUAAAAAUAUUGUUAUUAUCUUAAUUAUAUUACUUACGUUCUAAUGAUUUAUCGGACCUAUUCCAUACACGUGCCAAAUCAGAAAAAAUAAUAUAACAAUUCUGUAAAAAAAAAAUCCGGUGUUUACUUCAAAUAAAUAAGAAAAAUAAUGAUUUGAAUAUUUCAAAAUUCAAUUUUAAACCGAAAAAUCAAAAUUUAGAGGUAAAAAAUCGGACAACCGAGCGAAAAGUUAUGGCAUUUCAAAGUUUUCCAAGCUAAAAAACAUAAACGGUCAAUUUUUUGACCAGUGGGUACUGUUCACGUGCGGCGCAAAUUGCGUCCACGUAAGCGCGAUUUGCUGACGUGCCACGUAAGUAAUCGCGCUGACGUGGACGCAAUUUGCUAACACGUCCUCUGACAUCGCGCUGACGUGGACGCGAUUUCGGAAAAAAUAGCCCAUUCCGGUAAAUAAUAAAAUACCGGGUCCAUUUCGAUAAAUUUUAAAAAAAUAAAGCUUUUAUGUGUAAUUUGCCCAUAAUUAUCAAGUAGACUUUAAAAACCUUUUUUCUUUGCUUAAUUCACCCAUCCAAAAACCCUAACAAUGGCUACCCUCUCGCAUGAUAUGAUCAUUGAAAUACUAGGUUGUUUAAGUGUAAAAGAUCUUCUACGCUUCAAGUGCGUUUCAAAGCUCUGGUGUUCUUGGAUCGAGGAUCCAUAUUUCAUCAAACUCCAUCUCUCGUAUUCCCUCAAAACCAAUACCAAUCACUCCCUUAUCCUCCAUCACAGGAAGUUCCAGUUCUUGUCCGUCAACUACGACUCACCCAAAACAACUCGAAGACUCGAGCAGCCAUUCGGUGAACAAAAAAACCCCAUUCAAAUAUUGGGUUCUUGCAAUGGUUUGCUGGCUGUAGAAUAUGACUACAAUAGAAUAUUUUUAUGGAACCUUUCAACGAGAAAAUACCAGGUAUUACCUUCCACUAAAAUAGACUUUUCAUCUUCAUCGAUUUGCUAUGGCCGUUCAAUAUAUUACGGAUUUGGGUACGAUCUCGUUUCUGAUGACUACAAAUUGGUUCGAAUGGUCCAAUUACUUGGAGAAAAUGAUGAAUAUUUUCAUUCUGAAGCUAAGGUUUACAGCUUGAGGAGCAACUGUUGGAGAAGGAUUAAGGAUUUCUGCUUUUAUCUUAUCUUCUAUCGAGAAUUAGGGUUUUUGGCUAACAAUGUUUUACAUUGGAUGGUUUCUAAAACUCCCGAAUCGAGUAAUAGAAACCUUGUAGGUUUUGAUCUUCGGAGCGAGGAAUUCCGUGUAGUUGAAUUGCCGGAUUUUUGUUUAGAUGAGAAUUUCUAUUUCGACGUAAAAGCCAUGGGUGGUUACCUUUGUUUGACUGCAACUCACAGGGAAUUGAAUGAUGUUGUGGUUGAUGUAUGGAUAAUGAAGGAAUAUGGGGUUAAAGAAUCUUGGGUUAAAUUGAUGUCGUCUACCCAACCUGACCUUCUUCCAGGUUCUCCAUUUGAAGUACCUUUGGCUUUUUCAAAGAAUGGUAACAAAGUAUUAUUCCACAAUAAAUACAGUCGGGGCAACAGGGACAGUCUUGUAUGGUAUGAUUUGGGAAGCAAAAGGGUUGAGAAGGUUGCGAUUGAAGGUGUUCCAGUUGUCUAUGAUGUGUACUUGUAUGUUGAGAGCCUUGUCCCUCUUAAUGACAGGCGCCCCAGAGGUAAUUUUUCUUUGUUUAAUUGCAUUUCUCUUUGUUAUGUUAUGACUUUUCAUUUAUAUUUUUCUUUCUAGAUGUGUUUAACCUCCAACUAUAGCAUUGAAUAACUUUUUUUUUUUUUGAUUGUUAGUAUGAAGAAAAUGUACUGCUACAUCAAAAAAAUAGAUUCAUCCAAAACAGUGAUAUUAUAAUUAGAGCCUUUUGUCCCUCUUAAUAGCCCUAUAGAGGUCAUUUUUCUUUAUUUAAUUGCUUUCUUUUAUGGAAAUAUGGGCUUUUUUUUAUUUAAAUAACCCAAAUAAUUUAAUUAAGUACUUAAAUGACCCACCUUUUUAAUUAAAUAUCAAAAUGACCUGAAAUUUAUAUUAAAAGUUAGUGGAGCCAAAUUAUAUGGCGCCACUAACUUACCAUGUCAGCAGGGAGCAUUAAAAAAUUAAUUUUUUUGUGAAGCCAUGUAAAAUAGCGCCACCUCUAUAAAUACUAUAGAAAUACUGCAAGUUUUGGAAAAAUGGGAGACUUAAAACAAUUUUCCAUUUUCUGGUGGAGCCAACUUAAAUGGCGCCACAAGACCAAACCUGACACCUUUUUUUUUUUUACUUUUUUUAUUAACUUUUGUCUUUUUUUUAAGUUUUAUAUUUUUCUUAUUUUAUUUUAUUUUAUUUUGUUUAUUUAUUUAUUUAUUGUUAUUAAUUUUAAAAAAAUUAUAAAUAUAUAUUUGAAAUGUUUUAUAAUAUAUAUUUUUAAAAAUUUUAAAAUUAUUUUUAAAUUAUUUUUUAAAUUUUGAAUAUUAUUUUUUAAAAUAUUAAAUAAAAAAACUAAUCUUAUAUAAGGGUGGUUUGGUCCCCCUUCAGAAGAAAGAAAAGAGAGAAAAAAAAGUUAGUUAAUUUUUUUUAUAUCUUAUAGUUAUUGUAAUAUAAUAAUUAUUUAUAUUGUAUUUAUGUGUUUUUUUUAUAUUAUGCAGAUAUCAAAAUAUCUUCUGGAGAUACAGAUCACACUUCAUCGAGGAUCGACGAAACAGUAAAAUUAAUUAUGAAUUAAAUAAAAAAUCGUUUUAGUUUCUCUUUUUUUCUUGCUAAGCACUACUUUGCUCAACGUGCUUUGAUUUAUGAUUGUGAUCUCUAUUUAGUUAUUAUUAUUCCCUUUUAACUAUUUUCUUACAUGAAAUUAAUCUGUAUGUGUUGGUUAUAAUUUUUUAAUUUUAGUACACAUUCAUAAAAUUAUGUACUUAAUAUAUACUUUUAAUAGAUAAAGGCAAAAAAGAUUUUCUUAAUAGAUUUAAAAUCUUUAAAAACUUAAAGAAAUUAAAUAUAUUAAAAAAUGUUAUGUAUAGUCAAUUUUAAAAUUUUAAUAUAUUUUUAAAAAAUUAAAUAUAUUAAAAAAUGUUAAGUAUAACCAAUAUUAAAAUUACAAUAUAUUAAAUAUAUUUUUUAAAAAUAUAUUUUAAAAUGUUAAUAUAUUUUUUAAUAGGAAAAGAGAAAAAUGAUUUUUUAAUAUAUUUAAAAUUUUAAAUAUGUUAAAAGAAAAUGUUGAGUAUAACCAAUUUUAAAUUUUUAAUAACUGAAUAUAUUUAAAUAUAUUAAAAUUUUGAAAAUAUUAAAAAAAAUUUAAGUCCAUAUAUUAUAUGUAAGAUAAAAGUUCUCGUAUAUAAGAUAAAUUUUCGAGUUAGAAUAUGCUUAGUUUAUAUUAUAUGUAAAACUCUAUAUAUUAUUAUAGAUAUAAAUUCAAUAAAAAUAUGUUUUUUUAUUUUUAUAUUUACCCAUACAACCUAUAGUUUUUUAGGAUAUUAUUAUUAUUUUUAUGUACUUUUUGUUGUUAUAUAGUUGCUGUAACACCCCCUAAUCUCAAACUGUCGCCGGAACAGGGUUAUAAGGCAUUACCGGACAUAUCAACAAUUUACACAUAAUGGUUAAAUAAUUAACCAACAUAUUAUAAUAAUUCAUAAAUUGUUAUAAAUGUUACUAAUUGAUUUCAUUCAUUUUUAUAAGAAUUUCGGCAACAUUUCUAGUUAUUUUUACAUACAACCCCUUGCAAAAUUUCAAACAUAACCAACCCAAUUCCAGUAUUUCAACCAAGGCAUUUAUAUACUUAAAUCUUACUUGACAUAUUGACAUAACAACUUAAUUAAUCAAAAUCCUAUUAUCAUUUCUAGUUAAUACAUAAAACUAAUCAAGCCAUUUCAAUUUGAUACCAGUGCCAUAAAGGAUUUCUACCAUUUUACUAAUAUAAUCAUCAAAACACAUAAUAUCUUACUUUACAACAAAACUAUAUAACAUACCAAAAUAACUAUUAUAAUUCUUAUGUACAUGCCACUUUCUCUUAAAGAAAGAAAACAUCACCAAAAUUUUAUGUUGGAGUCGGGAUUGUCCUGGAUGCUGAACCGAGACUCUGACCCUUUUUUUUUUUCUUUUCAACCUGCGCACGGAAACAACCGUACGCUCAGUAUUUUAUACUCAGCGGUAUUACCAUAAUUCAAAUUAUAAUAGCAAUAAAGAAUUAUAAUUACUAAGCAUGUAACUAUCCGAUUUCUUAAAUAUCAAUUAAUUUAUAAACUUUAUUAUUUAACAAUAACAAUACAAUUUUUCUUUAGCUAAUUUUCGAUCUCAAUCACAUAUCACAUGUAACAAUUUCAAUCACAACAUAAGCAUUAAUUUCAUGCCUUUCAUUUUCAAUAUCAAUUUCAAUCCGAAAUUUUAAAUUUUCUCAUAUUCAAUUGUUCACCCUAUUAACAAUCUGGACUUUAACAAAUACACGGAUUCCAACCCAAACAUACCAGUACGGCACAUUGUGCCUAAAACGGUACAUAGUACCUGAUCAGUAUACGACACAUAAGUGCUUGAAACGACACACGAGGUGCCUGAUACGACACAUAAAGUGCCUGAGAUACGACACAUAAAGUGCCUGAUCGGCAAAGCCGAUAAAUCCCGUACUCUUCUAAAUCCUAUGGCAUGCCAAUUAUAUCCGACUCAGCCCGACUAAUUAAUAGGGUAUAUAAAUUUCACAAUCUAAUUUUCACUUUUAUUUCAAAAAUUCAUUUUCAGUAUCACUUAUAUUUUUUUCCAUUCACUAAUUAAACACAGUUCAAUACCAACACAUACUUUUCUCAUUCAAUUUAUUUAUUUAUUUAUUUUUUUAAAUUCAAUUCAACAAAGUCACUUACCUUAUCGUAUGCUUACCAUACACAUAAUUUAAACUUCACAUCAAAUAAUAAAUUAUUUGAAUUAUAGUAAUACAAACCCGAUUUUUGCUCGAUUAUUCUUCAAUAACCUUCCCUUUCCUUUGUGUGCCGAUGCCUCGAGUUCCUUGUUAGCUAUGAGAAUAAUAAUGAUUUACACCAUCAAUUACAACAUUAAUUAAUAAUAGUAAUAGAAUUUCUAUCUAAUUUAUACUUUAAUUCCAAUUUAAUCCUAACUAAAUUUAUUUACUUUUCUAAUUUAAUUCACACUCUAUUUCUAUUCAAAUUUCUUCUAACUCAAAUUUAACUACCAAAUUUUCAGCAUAUUUCAUUAAUUUCGAAUUUUCCUCAAUUUAAUCCCUACAAACAUAAAAUUUAUAGCUUACUUCACAAUUUAAUCCUUUUAUCAACUCUAACUAGAAAUUCUAUCAAAUAAACCCUCAAUUUCAUCAUUUAUUCAACAUAAACCCUACUCAUAAAUCUAUUAACUUUCAAAUUUUCAACUUAAAUCCAUGAGUAUUUCACUCUAGGGUUCCAAAAACAUCGAAUUUAUGAGUAUUUCACUCUAGGGUUCCAAAAACAUCAAAUUUAAACUUCAAGCUUCAAAUCCCUAGUUUUCCCUUUUAUUUUUCUUUCCCCUUUCCUUCCUUUCUUUUUCGUCUGUUCUCUGUUUCUAUUCUGUUCUUCUUUUGUUUCUUUGUCUUUUUAUUUUACUUACUUUACUUUAUUUCUUUUAUUUUAACUAGUAAUAUUAAUAAUAUAUAUUAUAUAAAAAAAUCUUUUACUUAUUAUUUAAUUAUAUAUUUAUUUUUAUUACAAGUGUACCUAUGUAAUUAUUACUAUUACACUUAUCUUAAUCUUUACCAUACAUUUGUCAUCUAUUUAAUUUAUAUAAUAUAAUACAAUAUAAUAUAUAUAAAACAUAAAAAUAUAAGAUUUUUAUCACUUAUACCGUCCCAUUUCUUGUUAAUGGCUUAAUUUCCAUUUUAAUCCUUUUUAUUUUCUAUUAAUCUAUAAUUCAACUUUUACCCCUAGUUCAAUUUAGUCGUUUUUCCUAAUUUCUCUUAAUUAAACUAAAUUCACCUAAUUAAUACCUAAUUAAGCACUCAACUAAACUCUUAAUUACUUCUAAUAAUUAUUUUCGAACUCAAUUUACUAAGACGGAGGCCCGAUAUUAUACUUUUCCGAUGCCCGUAAAUUUUUGGGUCAUUAUAGUUGCCUUUAGUUUUAAUGCUUAACUAUGAUUAAUAUUUUAUGACAUAUCUUCAUUCUAUUAUUAAUGUAUUAUUACUUAUUUAAUUUAACUUAAAUAAAAAAAAUACUUAGAAUGGCUACAUUGAUAUAGUAUAAGUGUGAUAUUUUUGUUUUCUCAGCCUUUCAAUUUUAGUCUUCAAUAUAUAAUUUUAUGUUUAAAUUAUAUAGAUAAUUGAUUUAUCAUAAUUUUAUAAAAAAAUUACCAUACAUGAUGGUUAUCGGGUUUUGAGGUCACGGUUUUAUUUUCCCAAGUACGUUUGAAUAUCUUUAAAAUUAAUUUUAAAAUUAAUAAUUUAUGAAAAUUAUAUUUAAAAUUUUAAAAAAUAUAUUUAAAAUAUUAUAAAAAAAACAAUAAAUUUGAAAGGUCAUAUCUUUAAAAAUAAUAUAUUUUAAAUAAUUUAAAAUCAUAAUUUAAAAUAAUUUAAAAAUCAUAAUUAUAGAAAUUAUAAAAAAAAUUAAAAUAUACAUUUAAAAUAUUAUAAAACUAAUAAUAAAUUAAUACAUUUAAAAUCGUUCUUAUUUCUAUUAUAAUUUGUAAAUAAAAAAUAUUUAUGAUUAUGACAUAAUAUAUACCAUGGUAAAAUACAUUAAUAAUUGGUGAUUAAUAAUAUAGGUGUCAUUAGUUGUUGAUCUAUCUAUGGAUGCAAUAAUAUAUAUAUGUAAUGGUGAGUUGAAAGUGUAAUUGGACCAAUUUUAUAUAAUUUGUAAAUGUGGAGGGUUAAUUUUAUUAAAUUGUUAAGAAAUAGGGCCAAAAUGAUAAAAUGUGCAAGUGUUGAUGACUAAAUGUGUUAAUAUAUCAAUUAAAAAAAGGCUACAUCAUCAUCCUUCUUUAAUGGAAAGUGACCAAAACAGAACUAACUGAAAAUGUUAGUGAUGAAAUUGAAAGUUUUUGUAAUUUGAUAGCUAAAACAAAAACAGGCAAAUAAUUGAGACCCUUUUUAUUUUUACAAUAAAUAUAAUCAAUAAGAUAAGAUAUUGAAUCCAGUUAAUAAUUUUAUUUUUAUUUUGGUCACUGAAAAUGAAAUACUUGUAAUUUUGUCAGCCAAUUAAGCAUUAAAUCUCUAAUGACGAUUAAUUGUACACGCCACAUCAAGUUAACACUUUCAUUUUGGUUACCCAAAAAAUAUUCUUUUUCUAAAUAUUGGUCAAGGCAAAAAAAUUAAAGAUUAAAGUGAAAAAAAAAUUAGAAUAGUAAUAUUUAAGCGACGAUUCGAUGAUCAAUACAAUGAAUUAAUACUCAACGACGAAAAGAAGAAUAUACCUUACAUCCAAGUCGAUCUGACGAUCAAUGUCGAAUAUCAAAGAAGAAAGCUGUUUGAAUUUUAAUUUAUAGAUUCGUGAUGUUUAAAGCGGUUUCAUGAAAAAAAAUUGAAGAGUAGAAGAGAAAAUGAAUGAAAGCUUUCGAUUAGUGCAAAAAAUGUAAACAGAGAAGACCAUAUACAACAAUAAUUUUAACAGGUUAGUGACUUGAAUGAAAACUUUCAAAUAAUUUUAUAAUCAUUUUAUAAUUAUGUGAUUAAAAUGUAAAUAUAUUAGUAAUUUAGCGAACGUGAUUUACCCUAAAAAAACAAUGUUAAGUACCAAGAUUGGAGCAGGACAUGGGAUUGCAAAUUUUGCAAGAGAGGAGGAUAGAGAGGGUGGUAUAAGCAUGCAAUCGAUUAAGGCGGAGUUGCUGAGUGUCAUCGCCUUGAUCAUGGUGUUGAAAACAUAAAUGUGAGGGUGGCUUUGGGAAUGAACAGCGAAUACGGAGUGGGCAUAGGCGGAGAAGCCCAGAGAAGAACGUGUUUCGAUGAAUUGGCUGAGAAGAAGCUUGUCGUGAUGGAGGGCUGUUCGAGCCAUGGAUCCAUGAGGCGUCUCAACAUGGUUAAGGUUAGAGCAAUGCUUUAGUAAGUAAAGCAAUCUCUGUCUCAUUCGCUAAUGCCACUAAGCUAAAAAGCAGCGCCAGUACUGUUCUUUCUAAUUCAUGCUGCAAUGGAGGACCUGAGCCAGAUCAUUUGUGCAAAGCUCUGGCUUAACGGUGUAAUUGAGUGCUGGCUCGAUACCUGGCUUUAGCUAAAUGGAAUACCAAUUUCUAAACUUGAGAAAGGAGUUUAUACUUAAAAAGAUUUAACUUAAAUUCAAACAUGGGUAGCUUAAUAAUAAUUGAAAAUAUAAUUUGACGAUAUAAGAAUAGAUUUAAAUAAAAAGUUUGAUCGGGAUUCUGAGCUUUGAAAUUGAUUAGAAUGCUGGAAUUAGAUUUGAAUGGAAUUACUUAAGCUUAAGCUCGACAUGAAUAAUUGGAGUUAUAUAGCUUGUAAAUCUCUUACUCGAAUCACCAAUUCAGCUAUGAAAUUAAAUAAAUAUAUCUUUUUUUAUCUUAUAAUUAAUAAUACCAACACGGGGGGGGGGGAUACAAGGAUAUUAUGUUAUUUUAAUAUAUUAUUAAUAUUCAUUAUGAUACCAACACCGGGGGGGAUACAAGGGAUUUGAUAGUAUGAGUGGAAGGAAAUAUAGACUCUUUUACAAACACAAAAAGGUUACAAAAAAGAAAACUAAAAAGCAAAGUAUUUUGUAAUUUACAAGAUGCUAUACAAUUGAGCUUUCCUCCCUAUUUAUAGAGGAAUUCUAAAAAUUUUAUACAAUCGUCUUUUGAAUCCCGAAUAGUGCUUCUGAUAAGGACUCGGCUUAUUUACGAAUGUGGUUGCUUCCACGUCUCAAGUCUUUUUGCAUGGCUAUGGUUGAUUCCAUGUGUCAUGCCUCCAUUUAAUGACCGCUUUCCUCACUGGUUGUGUCACGGCCGCUCUUGUCACUGCUUACAUCAUCAUUGUUUUAAUGAUGAUUAAGACUUUUUGUCUUCUUCAUUAAUGGUUGCCUCCAUCAUAAUUCAUCCAUCAAGAUGAUGAAUGGUAGAUAUAUUUUGAUGACAAUUUUCUCAUGUAUUUCUGUUUUGUUGCAGAAUACUAGAUGGAAAAUCUUCAAUGUCCAUGUCUGCUAUAUUUUUUAGCAGAUUGAUGCCGUCAUCAUUUUCUUCAAUAAGAUAUGAAUGAUAUGCUAAUAUCCUUCUUCCAUCAGUUCUAAAUUGAUAAUUUCUUUCUUGAAGAAGAUAUUUAGUUUUAGCCAUUAAAUCAACACCGGCUUGGAUCUGAUAAUAGCUUGAAUUAUCUUGACACUUGUCAAUUGUUGUUGCCAAGUAUUCUUUAUCUUCAUUUAAAGCAGAUAGUCGGGGGCUUCCGAGCAUUCUGUGAAUUUCCCAUAUUUGAUAUGGCUGAAAAUUUUUUUCUUUUUCAGAAAUACCAAUAAGAGUACUUAUUUGAAUAUAAAAAUAAUAGAAAAAGUCAUCAUUUUUUAUGAUGGUUUGUAAUAAAGAUUUGAGUACUGCUGGAAAAUCUUUUAAAAGAUGAAAAGAAAAGUUUUGUACUACUAUUUCUCUAGCAAAACCCCGUUUGAUACUUGUUAUAUCAAAUGGUUCAUGAUCCAAUCUAAAUUUUAUAGCUGGAUAUUCAUUACUUAUAAAUUUUGUAAAAACAUAAGAUUAUAGAAAAUAUUCAGAAAAUGAUUUUUGAUAUUGAAUUAUCUGCUGAUUACAGAUAGUUCUAUUGAUUUUGUUGAAUAUUUCUACUGGUAAAAUCUGCCUAGAUUUGUUAUAUAAACAGAUUCUAAAUAUCUUAUUUAUAAUAGGAGUAUUUUUUCCUUUAUAAAUAAAAUAUUGGAAAAUAUCAAGAAGAUUAUUUAUCUCCUCUAUUUCCAUAAAUUCUAUUUGGAAUUCGUCCCAUUCCCUGAAUAAAAUAGAUUUUAAUAAUAAAUCCUCGGCUUCAUUUUCUUUAGUUGUUUUUUCAACUAAAAAUAAUGAAAAUUUGGUAAGAGCUCUUCGGAAAUUAGCUCUUUGAUUUGAAAUAUGGGUUUUCCAUAUCUCAUUUAUAAAAUCAUAAAAUUCUGGUGACAAACCAGGAUUAUAAAAAUCUUUUAUUUUUGAAAGAUCUUUUUCUUCUUCAAUUUGUUGUUGUUUCAACAAAUUUUCUGAACUUUUGAUGAUUUCAGCAUAACUGUUUUGUGAUGCUAAAUUCGUAUUUUGAGACAUCGGUGAUUGAUACACCAUGUUUGAAAAUUUGCUUCCAACUGGUUGAUUUACCAUUGGAUAUUUUAAAACAUUUGGUCCAAGUGGUUGGUUUACCAUUGGAUAAGACACAUAAUAUAUUUGGUUAGGAUAGAAUGGUAUUUGUGCAGGUACAAAUCCUUUUUUGAAAUUUGAUUCUGCUUUCCCUUUGUUGGGCUUUUUGUGAACGGUAGUCCAUUCACCUACUAUUUCUUGUAGAGGCUUUUUACCUCUAUCCAUUAUAAGGCUUGCUAAAAAAAAAUCAACAAAUAUUAGUAAUAAGUUACAAAUAUUUAUUAAUUUUUUAUUAGUGUAAAUUUUUUAUUACACACAACUUUAUUAUCUUUUUCAAGUGAAAUUUCCACAAAGUCUUCUUUUACUAUAACCAAAUAGAAUGUUUAUCAAUAAUAAAAGGUAAAUAUUUACAUAUAAAAUUAUUUCCUAAUACAAUGUCUCCUUGCAUAUUAGGAAAACAUAAUAUUUUAGGAAUUAAAAAUCUAACAUUGUUUACGUAGAUUGGUAUGUUUUUAGCUUUAUAUUCUAUAAUAGUUUUACUUCCAUCUAUGUCUAUUAUUUUUAUAGGUUUUUUAACUAAUUCCCAUUUUUCUACAGGAAUCGCGUUUUUUCUGUAACUACAGAUUGUAGCUCCAGUAUCUAUUAAGGCAUUUAGAGAAUAUUUUUUAUAUUUUCUAAAUUGAAAUGUUGUUUUAAUGUUUAUUCCAACUUUUGACUUUUUAUCAAUUGUUGAAGUUUGAAUUUCUUUCAUUUUAGUUUUUCUAGAAUUAUUACUAGGAUUAGUAGGAAAUAUAGGAAUUUGAACAGUUUUCAUUCCUAUUGGUGUACUGUUUGUACUAAUAUUAUCCUCUUCUUCUUCUGGUUGAGAACUAGAGGGUAAAACUAAAUUUUCAUUUGUAUUAGUUAUAGAAUUAUUUUUAAAAUACAAUUUAUUUCCUGAUGACAUAUAUUCUAUAGUACUAACUGGUUUAGAAGUACUAGAACUAUUAAUUUUUUCCAUCAUCCAAUCUUUUGGAAUUGACAGGUCUCUUAAAUCUAAUAAUUUUGGCUGAAUUUCAGUAGUGAACCUGUUUGGUUCAAAGAGUUCAAUAAUUUUGUUAUUAAUCUCUUUUAUUUCUACUUCGGCUGUAUUAGUAUAUUCAUUAAUAGCAGUCCAGCUGAUUGCUAGAUCUUCUGCUAAAUCAUUGAUAUCAGAAUUUUUUGUCUGAAUUCUGAGACAAAAACACUCUUCUAUUAGAGGAUCCGUGAUAGAAAUAAAGUAAUUUGGUUUAACUUUAAAUCGUAUUACUCCUGUAUGUAAAUUAGACUGAAUUCCUCCAAUAAAUGCUUUUAUUGGAUUUUCAAAUCUUUUAUCUAAAAGGACAGCAAUUAUAGGAAUAUCAUGACCUCUUCUAAAUAAAGCUCUAAUAGUAAUCAUGAUUAUACCUAAAUGUAUAUAUCUAACCAGAGGAUAUUUCUUUCUAAUCCUCUUAAUUUUUUCUUUAGUAAAGAGAGGGAUUUCUGUUAAUCCUCCUUUAGUAUCUUUAGCGACGGUAUUACCUCUAAGUUUUUCUAUAUGUCUCUGUGUCCAUAUUUUGAACCUAGAGAUUUUAUAUAUUUCUUCUUUAGAAAUAUGAUUUUUAUUAAUCUUUUCUAUUAUUUCAUCAGAAAAGUCUUUUUCUUCUCCGAUCAAAUUUCCUAACUUAAUAUCCUGUGUUUCAGAAUUUGGAAUUUCUUCUAAUUGUUUAUUAGAACUACUUCCUAUAUUAAACAUAAAAAUAUAUUCAUCGUUACUAUCAGAAUCUGUUUCUGAUAUUAACUCAUAUAAUAUUUCUUCAGGAUUUGUUUCCUUUUGAAAACAUAUUUCUAAGUCUUGUUCUUCAAGACUUUUAAUCAUUUUCCUAGCAUUUUUCCCUUUAUUAGGACAAUUGCUAGCUAUAUGGCCUUCUUCGACACAAAUAAAACAUUUACAAAUUUGUUUCUUUAGUUUAGAAGUCUUUUUUCUAACCAUUUUUUGACUUUUACUAGAGAAUUUUUUAUUGCCUGGUUUCCAUUUUCUUAAUUUAUAUUUUUUACGCUUUUUAAAUGUAUUAGGAUAUAUUGGUUUACAUCCAAAUUCCCAUUCAUUUUCUAAAAUUUUAUUACAAUACCUAUCACUUAAUUUAUGCUUGACUUGUUUAGCAGCUUUACUUUGCAGACAAUGUAAAGUUAUUCUUUCACGUGCAAAGUUUAUCCUAUUGCCUAUAGUAUCUAUGUUUUCUAUUGGAAGCCCAGAUGAUUUAUUGUGCUUAUCUAAAUAAGAUACAUAUUUGUUUAUACAUAUCUCAUCCCAGGGUGGGGGUAAUUUAUGAAAAUAUUGGUUUUUCCAAAAUUCUAUAUUUUCAUUUUUUAACUUUUGAUAUUCAUGAAGAAAUUUUUUAGAAAAUUCUUCUAAAUAUCUAAUAUCACAUAUUUUAAUCUUUGAAAGAAUAUAACUAGCGGUACCAUCUUGAUCUUUUUUAUCAAAAUAAUCACAAAAUUCUGUUUUUAGAAUUAAUGUUAAUCCUUUUAAUAAAUCUUUAGGGGUUCCUAUCUGGUUGAUUAAUUGCCCCUUUUGUUCUUUACCUUUCUCAGACUCUUCCCAUCGUCUAAGAAACUGUAGAACAUCUCCUUGAAAUGUUCCAACAAAAUAAUUUAAAAAUUUUUCUUUUGACCAUGUGUUGUUGUUUACAACAAUAGUCAUUGACUGUGCCCAAUCAUCUAUAGUUUUUUCAUAGUUUGAAAUAGGAGUAUUAGUCAAAUCUAAAUAAAUUCCUCCUUGGGCCACAUUUCUUUUAUUUAAAUCAUCUAUUCUUUGUUGAACAGGUUGAUUAGACGUUUCACCUGGGUAUUCAGGUUUUAUCUCAUUUGUUGCUAUAUUUUCGGUUUUAUUACCAAAAAUUCUAAUUUUAUCACUUAUUUCAAAAUCUUUAUUUAAAUGUCUGAGAUAAUCAUCUGUUUGGCUAUCUGAUUCUAUUUUUCUUUUUCUAUAUGGAUCUGUUGGUUCAGUAUCCAUAGGUUCUGGAAUAUCUAUAUUUUCAUCUUCAGAUGAAGUGGUUUCCUCAUCAGUAUUAUAAGUCGAGACUUUUAUGUCUUCAUCCUGAUCUGUUGAAGUUUUUUCUUCAUCAGAUUGUUUCUUUAAUAAUUCUGUGUUUUCAGAAUUACUUGAGCUACUACUAUCAUCAUAUUUUAACAUAUAAUGAUAAUUAAACAUACUAAAUAGAUCUUUAUGUUUUUCAUAAAGUUCUUCUUCUAUUAGUUUUAAAUAUUCAACUCUUUCUAGUUGAUCAUUACUAUUAGUAAAUUUCUCUUUCCAAUGUUCUAUAAGGGUUUUAUAGGAUUGGAAAUCGUAUUCUUUUUGUUUUUUUAUUAUCUUUUUUACGUUUUUUAUGCUUUUUAUAAUUUUUUAACAUGGAUGUUGACUCAUCAAAAGAAGUGUUUUCUUCUUCAGAUAAAACUAAAGUAUGAUCUUUACCAUUACCGUAGUAUAAAGAACCUAAAUCUACAUCGGACUCAAUAUUAUUAUUAAAAACUUGAUCUAAUUUAUUAUUAACACUAGUUAAUAUUUCUUUAGACUCAUGGUUUAAGUCUAAAUCUUUUAUAUUACCUAAAUUAUUUACUUUUUCUUCUACAGAACUGACCUUACUAAAUAACCUACGAAAAUAAAAAGAAGUCAUAUCAAUAAGACUAUUUAGACCCUUACUCAGAGAUGAAAUGUUGUUUUCGUUUCUAGAGUCUAUAUGCGUAAUAUGAUCGCAAGUUUUAUCUUUAAACUGACACUCGAUUUGCUCCAUAAUGUUUGUUUCUGGUACCUAAGACCGUCUAUUAUCUUUAUCAUUUUCACACAACGCCUAAACGUCCUCCCUGGACUCAACGGCAACAAGAAGACAGAAUAACAGAUAUAUGGGUUUUGAAACAAACAACUGUGAAACAAACAGAAAUGUAAAUCAAAGAGUAAAACUUACAAUGGAUAUUACGAUAUUAUUUCUCCAGAAAGUCGUUACACCGGAACCUCUGAUACCAACAUGGGGUGGAUACAAGGAUAUUAUGUUAUUUUAAUAUAAAGAUUUGACUACUGCUUGAAAAUCUUUUAAAAGAUGAAAAGAAAAGUUUUGUACUACUAUUUCUCUAACAAAACCCCAUUCGAUACUUGUUAUAUCAAAUGGUUCAUGAUCAAAUCUAAAUUUUAAAGUAGGAAAUUCAUUAUCUAAAUAAUCAGUAAAAACAUAUGCUUGUAGAAAAUAUUCUGAAAAGGCUUUUUGAAAUUAUUUUUGCUGUCUGCAAAUCAUAUCAUUUAUUUUUGUGAAUAUUUCUACCGGUAAUAAUUUCCUAGCUUUAUUAAACAUACAUAUUCUGAAUACUUUAUUCAUAAUAGAAUUGUUUUUUCCUUUAUGAAUAAAAUAUUGAAUAAUAUCAAGAAAAUUGUUUAUCUCCUUAAUAUCCAUAACAAAGAGUCGGAAAUCAUCCCAAUCUCUAUAUAAAAUAGAUUUUAAUAAUAAAUCUUCAGCUUCAUUUUCUUUAGUUGUUUUUUCAACUAAAAAUAAUGAAAAUUUGGUAAGAGCUCUUCGAAAAUUAGCUCUUUGAUUUGAAAUAUAGGUUUUCCAUAUCUCAUUUAUAAAAUCAUAAAAUUCUGGUGACAAACCAGGAUUAUAAAAAUCUUUUAUUUUUGAAAGAUCUUUUUCUUCUUCAAUUUGUUGUUGUUUCAACAAAUUUUCUGAACUUUUGAUGAUUUCAGCAUAACUGUUUUGUGAUGCUAAAUUGACAUCAACCUUCUUGUCUAUUGUCGAGAUUCAUUUCUUCAAUCUCGUCCAAAUGUAAAGAAUCUGAUGAAAGUCUUGGUGGUGAAUUCCAAGCCUCCAAUGUUAGCUAUCUUUUUUAAUAGCUUCACAGAUUCUUCGUUUUUUUCUUCCUAGAUAUUUCCAUUAGGAAAUGCCAAUAUUCUUCUCCCAUCCGUCCAAAGUUUGUAAACUUCAUCAUAGAGAAGAUAAUGGGCUUGUGAUAUCAAAUCUAGUCCUGUUUGGACUUGAUAAUUAUCAAAUUUAUUAUAACAUUCAUCAAUAGUUUUUGACAAAUGUUCUUUGUCUUCAUUUACUGCAGAUAAUUGGGGGGGUUCCAAUCAUCUUUUUAAUAAUCCAAAUUUGAUACGGCUGAUAAAAUUUUUCUUGUUCAGCUAUACCAAUUAGACUACUAAUUUCAAUAUGAAAAUAGUAAUAAAAAUCAUCAUUGUUUAUGAUGUUUUGUAAAACUGAUUUUACAAUAGCUGGAAAAUCUUUUAAAAGAUGAAAAGAAAGAUUUUGCACAACUAUUUCUUUGGUAAAACCCCCAUUCAAUAUUGGUUAUAUCAAAUGGUUCAUGAUCUAAUCUAUAUUUUAAAGUAGGAAAUUCAUUAUCUAAAUAAUCAGUAAAAACAUAUGCUUGUAGAAAAUAUUCUGAAAAGGCUUUUUGAAAUUGUUUUUGCUGUCUGCAAAUCAUAUCAUUUAUUUUUGUGAAUAUUUCUACCGGUAAUAAUUUCCUAGCUUUAUUAAACAUACAUAUUCUGAAUACUUUAUUCAUAAUAGAAUUGUUUUUUCCUUUAUGAAUAAAAUAUUGAAUAAUAUCAAGAAGAUUGUUUAUCUCCUUAAUAUCCAUAACAAAGAGUUGGAAAUCAUCCCAAUCUCUAUAUAAAAUAGAUUUUAAUAAUAAAUCUUCAGCUUCAUUUUCUUUAGUUGUUUUUUCAACUAAAAAUAAUGAAAAUUUGGUAAGAGCUCUUCGGGAAUUAGCUCUUUGAUUUGAAAUAUGGGUUUUCCAUAUCUCAUUUAUAAAAUCAUAAAAUUCUGGUGACAAACCAGGAUUAUAAAAAUCUUUUAUUUUUGAAAGAUCUUUUUCUUCUUCAAUUUGUUGUUGUUUCAACAAAUUUUCUGAACUUUUGAUGAUUUCAGCAUAAUUGUUUUGUGAUGCUAAAUUUAUAUUUUGAGACAUCGGUGAUUGAUACACCAUGUUUGAAAAAUUGCUUCCAACUGGUUGAUUUACCAUUGAAUAUUUUAAAACAUUUGGUCCAAGUGGUUGGUUUACCAUUGGAUAAGACACAUAAUAUCUUUGGUUAGGAUAGAAUGGUAUUUGUGCAGGUACAAAUCCUUUUUUGGAGUUUGAUUCUGCUUUCCCUUUGUUGGGCUUUUUGUGAACGGUAGUCCAAUCACCUGCUAUUUCUUGUAAAGGCUUUUUACCUCUAUCCAUUAUAAGGCCUGCUCAAAAAAUCAGCAAGCAAAUUGUCAUCACUUUUAAUAAAAAAACUUCAAAGUUAAAAGUACAUAAAUCAUUAUACCACUUAAUUCUUCUAGGUAUAGUUCCUAAACUGUUAUUAGUUAAAAACUGUUUAACUGCUUGAUUAUCAGUUCUUAUAAUAAACUUUUCGGGUGCUAAAUAAAUGAGGAAAGUUUUUAUUCCUUUUUUAAUAGCUAAUAGUUCUUUUUCAUAAAUAAUAUAAUUAACUUCAUUUGGUUUAAAUUUUCCUGAACUAUAUCCACAUAUAAGUUCUUCAUUAUUAGCUGUUUUAGCUUUUAAAAUACAUCCCCAAUAGUAUUGCGAUGCAUCUGUUUCUAAAAUUAGUUUAUCUCCUGUUUUAAGCAAAUAAACUUUUGGAUUGUAAGUAAUUUCUUCUUUUAUAUUUUUUAUAACUUCUUCAUCUUGUUUAGACCAACAAAAGCAAAUAUUCUUUUUUAAUUUAUCAUAUAAUAUACCUGUUUUUUCAGCUAAUUUUGGAAAAAAGUUUCUUCCAUAAUUAACUAUUCCUAAAAAUUGUGAAAGAUGUUUUUUAUCUUCAAUUUUUUCAGGAAAUUCUUUUAUUUUUACAAUAAUAUGAUCUUGAAGUUGAAGACCAUGUGCAGAUAGUUUUAAUCCUAAAAAUUCAAUUUCUGUUUUUUCUAGCUCUAUCUUUUUAGGGCUUAAUAUAAUUCCAUGUUUUAGGAAUUCUUGAGAAAUAAUAUUUAGUGCUUUCUAUGCUCUUCAAGUGUUUUUGAAAAGACUAAGAUAUCAUCUAUAUAUACCACGCAAAAUUUUUUAUACAAUUUACAAACACAAAAUUCAAAUAUCGAAUGUGUAUUGAGUUUUUUCAUGAUAUAUAAAUAUAUUAAAUUUAAUAUUUAAUUAGGAUAUUUGAAUUCGACUCGAACACAAAUACAAUAAUUAAAUAAAAACAAACUUACCUUUAAAAUCGUAGUUUUUCAUGCUAUGCUACGCUUUUCUCUACUGCUAUACCCUUAAAAAACUUUUCUUCUUUGAUUAACCUACACAUACAAAAUCUCUUGAAAAUGGCGCCGCUCUCCAAUGAUAUGAUUCUUGACAUCUUUCGGUGUUUAAGUGUAAAAGAUCUUUCACGCUUUAAAUGCGUUUCAAAGUUCUGGUGUUCUUGGAUCGAGGAUCAAAAUUUCAUCAAACUUCACCUCUCCUAUUCCCUCAAAACCAAUACCAAUCGCUCCCUUAUUCUCCGUCACCGUAGGUACGAGAUCUUCUCCGUCAACUACGACUCACCCAAAACAACUCGAAGACUCGAGCAGCUUGAACAAAACAAAAACAUUCAAAUAUUGGGUUCUUGCAAUGGUUUGCUGGCUGUAGAAGAACAGAACGGUAGAAUUUUACUAUGGAACCCUUCAACGAGAAAAUGCCAGGUAUUACCUUCGGCUAAAAUAGUGUUUUCACCUCCACCGGCAUUCUAUUCCUGUUCAACUUAUUCCGGAUUUGGGUACGAUCCCGUUUCUGAUGACUACAAAUUGGUUCUAAUUGUCCAAUUACUUGGAACAUAUGAAGAAUAUCUUCAUUCUGAAGCUAAGGUUUACAGCUUGAGGAGCAAUUCUUGGAGAACGAUUAAAGGUUUCUGCUUUUAUUUUAUUUCCGAACGACAAUUAGGGGUUGUGGCUAACAAUGUUUUACAUUUGUUGGCUUUUAAAAUUCCCGAAUCGAGUAAGAGAAGCUCUGUUGAUUUAGAUGUGUUCGCUUAUAAAAAUCCCGAAACGAGUUAUAAACACCUUGUUGGUUUUGAUCUUUGGAGCGAGGAACUCAGUUUAGUUGAAUUGCCGGAUUUUUGUUUAGAUGGGGAAGCCAAUGUCGACGUAAAAGCCCUGGGAGGUUACCUCUGUUUGACUGCAACUCAUAGGGACAUGUUUGUUUCGGGUGAUCUAUGGAUAAUGAAGGAAUAUGGGGUUAAAGAAUCUUGGGUUAAAUUGAUAUCGACUACCCAACUUGACUUUCUUCCAGGUUCUCCAUUUGUAGUACCUUUGGCUUUUUCAAAGAAUGGUAACAAAGUAUUAUUCCACAAGAAAAGCUGUAAGGGCGACAUGGACAGGGACAGUCUUGUGUGGUAUGAUCUGGGAAGCGAAAGGGUUGAGAAGGUUGGGAUUGAAGGUCUUCCACUUGCCUAUGAUGUGUACUUGUAUGUUGAGAGCCUUGUCCCUCUUAAUGACAAUGUCCCUCGUAAAUACAGUCGCCCCAUAGGUAAAUUUUCUGUAUUUAAUUGCAUUUCUCUUUGUUAUGUUAUGAUUUUCCAUUUAUAUUUUUCUUUCUAGAAAUUAAAAUAGAUGUGUUUAACAUAGCAUUGAAUAACCUUUUUUAAAAUGUUAGUUAAUAAAAAAUAUACUUGUAAAUCAAAAAAAGUAGAUUCACCCAAAACAGUGAUGUUAUAAUUAGAGCCUUUUAUGUUGAGAGCCUUGUCCCUCUUAAUGAGAAGCCCCAUUGAGGUAAUUUUUCUUUACUUAAUUGCUUUCUUUUAUGGAAAUAUGUGUUGCAAUAUGAAUUUCCAUUCAUGUUUCUCUUUGUAGAAAUUAAAAUAAAUGUCUUUAACAUCCAAUUAUAGUACCGAUUAACUUUUUUUUUUUGAAUGACAGCUCUAGAACCUCGAGAAAAACGUAUGGCAGAUCUAGAAGCUCGUAAAAAACGUAUUUCUACAUCAAAAAGUAGAUUUGUGAAUAACAGCUGGAGAAAAGCGUACUUCUACGGCAAAAGAUAAAUUUGUCUAAAAAACUUUACUCUUUACUUGAUGUUAUAAUAAGAGAAAAGAUAUGAAGGUUUCUCGAUUACUUUAUGAGUAUGGUAUUAUUAUUUUUAUGUAUUGGAGGAUGAUAUUAUUAUAUUUUUAUUUGGUAUCACUUUUAUAUUUAUUAUUAAAUAAAUUAACAUUGAAUAGAAAAUAUUUUCUUUCUUGUACCUAUUUCUUAUAUUACUCAAUUGAUCAAGUGUUUGAAAUCGUUCUUAUUUCUAUUAUAAUUUGUAAAUAAAAAAUAUUUAUGAUUAUGACAUAAUACCAUGGUGAAAUACAUUAAUAAUUGGUGACUAAUAGUAUAGGUGUCAUUAUUUGUUCUUCUAUCUAUGGAUGCAAUAAUAUAUAUAUGUUAAUGGUGAGUUGAAUGUGUAUGUAGACCAUAUUUAUAUAAUUUGUAAAUGUGGAGGGUUAAUUUUAUUGAAUUGUUAAGAAAUAGGGCCAAAAUGAUAAAAUGUGCAAGUCUCGAUGACUAAAUGUGUUAAUAUAUCAAUUAGAAAAAGACUACAUCAUCAUCCUUCUUUAAUGGAAAGUGACCAAAACAGAACUAAUUGAAAAUGUUAGUGAUGAAAUUGAAAGUUUUUGUAAUUUGAUAGCUAAAACAAAAACACGCUAAUAAUUGAGAUCCUUUUUAUUUUUACAAUAAAUAUAAUGAAUAAGAUAAGAUAUUGAAUCUAGUUAAUAAUUUUAUUUUUAUUUUGGUCACUGAAAAUGAAAUACUUGUAAUUUUGUCAGCCAACUAAGCAUUAAUCUCUAAUGACGUGUAAUUGCACACGCCACAUCAAGUUAACGCUUUCAUUUUAGUCACCUCAAAAAUAUUCUUUUUCUAAAUAUUGGUCAAGGCAAAAAAAAUUAAAGAUUAAAGUGAAAAAAAAAUCGAAUAGUAAUAUUUAAGCAACGAUUCGAUGAUCAAUAUAAUGAAUUAAUACCCAACGACGAAAAGAAGAAUAUACCUUAAAUUCUAGUCGAUCUGACGAUCAAUGUCGAAGAUCGAAGAAGAAAGCUGUUUGAUUUUUAAUUUAUAGAUUCGUGAUGCUUAAAGCGGUUUCAUGAAAAAAAAUUGAAGAGGAGAAGAGAAAAGGAGUGAAAACUUUCGAUUAGUGCAAACAAUGUAAACAGAGAAGACCAUAUACAACAAUGAUUUUAACAAGUUAGUGACUUGAAUGAAAAUUUUUAAAUAAUUUUAUAAUUAUUUUAUAAUUAUGUGAUUAAAACGUAAACUUAUUAGUAAUUUAGCGAACAUGAUUUACACUAAAAAAAACAAUGUUAAGUACCAAGAUUGGAGCAGGACAUGGGAUUACAAAUUUUGAAAGAUAGGAGGAUAGAGAGGGUGGUAUAAUCAUGCAAUAGAUUAAGGCGGAGUUGCAGUGUGUCAUCGCCUUGAUCAUGGUGUUGAAAGCAUAAUGAACAGCGAAUACGGAGUGGGCAUAGGCGGAGAAGCCAAGAGAAGAACGUGUUUCGAUGAAUUGGCUGAGAAGAAGCUUGUCGUGAUGGAGGGCUGUUCGAACCAUGGAUCCAUGAGCCGUCUCAACAUGAUUAAGGUUAGAGCAAUGCUUUAGUAAGUAAAACAAUCUCUCUCUCAUUCGCUAAUGCCACUAAAGCUAAAAAGCAGCGCCAGUACUGUUCUUUCUUAUUCAUGCUGCAAUGGAGGACCUGAGCCAGAUCAUUUGUGCAAAGCUUUGGCUUAACGGUGUAAUUGAGUGUAGGCUCGAUACCUGGCUUUAGCUAAAUGGAAUACCAAUUUCUAAACUUGAGAAAGGAGUUUAUACUUAAACAUGGGUAGCUUAAUAAUAAUUGAAAAUAUAAUUUGAUGAUAUAAGACUAUAUUUAAAUAAAAAGUUUGAUCGGGAUUCUGAGCUUUGAAAUUGAUUAGAAUGCUUGAAUUAGAUUUGAAUGGAAUUACUUAAGCUUAAGCUCGACAUGAAUAAUUGGAGUUAUAUAGCUUGUAAAUCUCUUACUCCACCAAUUCAGCUAUGAAAUUAAAUAAAUAUAUCUUUUUUUUACUUAUAAUUAAUAUUAUUAUAAUAGGACUUUUUAUGUGUUUACAACAUCUUUAAUUAAAAAUUCAAAAAUCGAAUGUGUAUUCAGUUUUUUCAUAAUAUAAAAAUAUAUUAAAUAAAAAAAUUGAUUAGAUUCAAUAUUUGAUUAGGAUACUUGAAUUCGACUUCAACAGAAAUACAAUAAUUAAAUAAAAAUAAACUUACCUUUAAAAUCAUUGUUUUUCAUGCUAUGCUUUUCUCUACUGCUAGACCCUUGAAAAACUUUUCUUCUUUGAUUAACCUACACAUCCAAAAUCUCUUGAAAAUGGCGACCCUCUCCCAUGAUAUGACUCUUGACAUCUUACGCUGUUUAAGUGUAAAUGAUCUUUUACGCUUUAAAUGCGUUUCAAAGUUCUGGUGUUCUUGGAUCGAGGAUCCAUAUUUCAUCAAACUUCACCUCUCCUAUUCCCUCAAAACCAAUACCAAUCGCUCCCUUAUUGUCCGUUACUGUAAGUACCAGUUCUUGUCCGUCGAUUACGACUCACCCAAAACAACUCGAAGUCUCAAGCAGCCACUCAGUGAGCAAAAAAAAUACAUUCAAAUAUUGGGUUCUUGCAAUGGUUUGCUGGCUGUAGAAGACGACGACGGUAGAAUAUUACUAUGGAACCCCUCAACGAGAAAAUACCAGGUAUUACCUUCGACUGAAAUAGAGUUUCCAUCUCCUCCGAUACGCUGUUCCCGUUCAACUUAUUACGGAUUUGGGUACGAUCCCGUUUCUGAUGACUACAAAUUGGUUCGAAUUGUCCAAUUACUUGGAGCAAAGGAUGAAUAUUUUCAUUCUGAAGCUAAGGUUUACAGCUUGAGGAGCAAUUCUUGGAGAAGGAUUAAAGAUUUCUGCUUUUAUUUUAUUUCCUAUCGACAAUUAGGGUUUUUGGCUAACAAUGUUUUACAUUUGUUGGCUUUUAAAACUCCCGAAUCGAGUAAAAAAGACCUUGUUGGUUUUGAUCUUCGGAGCGAGGAAUUCAGUUUAGUUGAAUUGCCAGAUUUUUGUUUAGAUGAGAAUAUCUAUUUCGACGUAAAAGCCAUGGGUGGUUACCUUUGUUUGUCUGCAACUUAUUGGGAAUUAGGUGACAUUGUGGCUGAUGUAUGGAUAAUGAAGGAAUAUGGGGUUAAAGAAUCUUGGGUUAAAUUGAUGUCGUCUACCUAUCCUGACCUUCUUCUAUGUUCUCCAUCUGAAGUACCUUUGGCUUUUUCAAAGAAUGGUGACAAAGUAUUAUUCCACUUUAAACUCAAUCGGGACAGAAGGGACAGUCUUGUGUGGUAUGAUUUGGGAAGCAAAAGGAUUGAGGAGGUUGGGAUUGGAGGUGUUCCAAUUGUCUAUGAUGUGGACUUGUAUGUUGAGAGCCUUGUACCUCUUAAUCAGAAGCCCCCUAGAGGUAAUUUUUCUUCAUUUAACUGCAUUCUUUUAUGGAAAUAUGUGUUGUGUUUCUAUUAUUUGUAUUUGUAAGUUGCAAUAUGAAUUUCUCUUUCUUGAAAUUAAAAUAGAUGUCUUUUAACAUCCGAUUAUAGCACUGAAUAACCUUUUUUUUGAUGACAGUUCGAAAAAAACGUACUUCUACAUCAAAAAAGAAGUUUUGUCCAGAAAGAGGUAAAUGUUAAGCGAAAUUUGUUUCUCGAUUACUUUACGAGUAUGGUAUCAUUAUUUUUAUGUAUUGGAGGAUGGUAUUAUUAUAUUUAUAUUUGGUGUUAUAAUUAAAAAUCUAAAAAUUGAACAUGUGUUCAAUAAUAUUAAAUAUUAAAUAAAUUAACAUUGAACAGAUAAUAUUUUCUUUCACCCAUGUAAUGUAUGCGAUAAAAUCUAGUAUAUAUUAAACAACACAAAUACCAUGUAUUUCAUUUUAUUUAUUUAUUUUUAUUUAAUUCCUUUUUCUUUUAUGUAUAUGUGUUUCUCAUAUUACUAAUUGAUUUAAGAGUUUAAAAUCACUCUUAUUUCUAUUUAUAAUUUGUAAAGAAAAAAAAAGAUUUAUUCAAUUGAUUAAUAAUUUGUAUUAGUUGUUAUUUCUAUUAAAGUUUGUAAAUUUAUGAUUAUGACAUAAUACCAUGCUGAAAUACAUUAAUAAUUGGUGACUAAUAGUAUAGGUCUCAUUAUUUGUUGAUCUAUCUAUGGAUGCAAUGAUAUAUAUAUAUAUAUAUAUAUAUAUAUAUAUAUAUAUAUAUAUAUAUGUUAAUGGUGAGUUUAAUAUGUAUGUGGACCAAAUUUAUAUAAUUUGUAAAUGAGGAGGGUUAAUUUUAUUAGAUUGUUAAGAAUUUAGACUAAAAUGAUAAAAUGUGUAAGUGUUGAUGACUAAAUAUGUUAAUAUAUCAAUUAAAUAAAAGCUAUAUCGUCAUCAUACUUUAAUGGAAAGUGAUCAAAACAGAACUAACCGAAAAUGUUAGUGAUGAAAUUGAAAGUUUUUGUAAUUUGAUAGCUAAAACAAAAAACAUGCUAAUAUUUGAGACUCUUUUUGUUUAUACAGUAAAUAUAAUCAAUAAGUUAAGAUAUUAAAUCUAAUUAAUAAUUUUAUUUUUAUUUUGGUCGCUCAAAAUGAAAUACUUGCUAUUUUGUCACCCAACUUUUAAAACACUUUUAUUUUAGUCACCCAAACAUUAAAUCUCCAACGACGAUUAAUUGUACACGCCACAUGAAGUUAACGCUUUCAUUUUGGUCACUCAAAAAAAUAUUAUUUUUUAAAAUAUUGAUCGAGGCAAAAAAAAAGAUUAAAGUGAAAAAGUUCGAAUAGUAAUCUCUAAGCGACAAUUCGAUAUCGGUACAGUGGAUUAGCACCCAUUGACGAGUAGAAGAAUAUACCUUAAAUCCAAGUUAGUCGAACGAUCAAUAUCAAAGAUCAGAGUAGAAAGGUAUUUGAAUUUUAAUUUAUAAAUUCGUGAUGCUUAAAGCAGUUUCAUGAAAAAAAAUUGAACAGUAGAAGAAAAAUGUAAUGAAAGCUUUCGAUUGGUGCAAGCAAUGCAAACAGAGAAGGCUAUAUACAAUAAUGAUUUUAACAAGUUAGUGACUCGAAUGAAAACUUUCAAAUAAUUCUAUGAUCAUUUUAUAAUUCAGUGAUCAAAACGUAAACUUGUUAAUAAUUUAGUGAACUAAGUGUGGUUUACCCUAAAAAACAAGAUUAAGUACUAAGAUUGGAGCAGGACAUGGGAUUGCAAAUUUUGCAAGAGAGGAGGAUAGAGAGGGUGGUAUAAUCAUGCAAUAGAUUAAAUUGUAGUGUCUCUGUUUUGUUAUGGCUAUGGAUUUUUAACAUUCAUUUUUAUUAUGUAGACAACAGUAUUUCCCUUCCAUUAGCUGAUCCCAACUUCCAUGGCCACACUUCACUUAACGCAGCCACCCAAAACAAAACAUUCAUCAUCGAUACCCAUAAGCGAUCAACUUUGGGUCAUUUUCUUUUUCCCUAAUGAUGGAGGCUUUGAGCAGUACCUUCAAUGACUAUGAAUAGACAGAAACAAAAGAUAACAGAAAAAUAUGAAAAAUAGAAGAAGAGAAAAGUAUUUUAAUCUUUAUUUCAUAAAACUAAAAACCUACCUUUUACAUAGAAGACUUCACUAUUUAUAGGGAACUAAGAUAAAUAACUGAAGCAGCAACGAGUUAGCUAAAUUAGUCUUACUAACCACCUAAUCAUGACUUAUAAUCCUAUUAUCAUCAUUGUUCUCUCCUUCUACUAAAGUAGAUAGACAUGAAGAGAUUUCAUCAGUAGAAGCAACACAAAGCUGAUGCUGCAAGUGAGUAAAAAAACCAGCUGCCAGUGGCUUAGUCAGAAUAUCUGAAAUUUGAUGUAUAGCCGGAUCAUAAUGAACAUCAACUUCACCAGCAGCCACCUUUUUGCAGACAAAACACAAGUCUAACUCCGCAUGCUUCAUCCAAGUAUGUUGCACUGGAUUGCUAGAGUGUGCAACGGCACUAGUUUUAUCACACCAAAUGAUCGGAGGUUAAGCAACAAGUUGAAUUCCCAUCUCAGUCAACAAUGAUUUCAGCCAAGCUAUUUCACACACAAUAUUGGCAACACUUCGUAAUUCAGCUUCUGUAGACGAUCGUGCCAUAACACUUUGUUUCUUGGAACUCCAUGCAACUAUGUUGUUACCAAGAAACAUAGAAUACCCAGCUGUAAAACGACAAUCAUCAAUGUUGCUUCCCCAAUCUGGGUCAGAGUAAGCUGUAAUGUGUAAGGAGGGACAAGGUCAAAAGACAAGUCCAUGUUGUAGGGUGUAGGAUCGCCGGCACCCCUACGGCGCAGCGAAAAAUUUAAUAAUUAGCGACCCUAACCACGGAUCCAUGUGUGAGGAACGAAUCGGGGUCAAAAAGGUUACGAAAUUACCUAAUGUUUAAUCUGAGUAGACAACAACUUCUAAACCACGUGUAGUCUGAUCUACAGUCGAACCAAGCCGCAAUCUAUCGAGACUCCGACCUCUACGUAAUCCAUUCAGUUGACUACGAACGGAAGAAAUCCCAAAUCAAUUUUCAAAAGUGGUCUUUCUUUGACGGCUGCUAGACCCUUAAACAAAGAAAAACGGGAUUCUUAUAUAUCCUUUUAAUUUUUAGGGUUUUUAGGAAUUAAAUAAAUAUAACAAUAUUUUAAACCAAAAAUUAUAAUUACAUUAAUUAUAAUAUAAUUUCGGUAAACCAUAUAUUUAUUUUAAUUCAUAUGCUAACCAAAUUCAUGUCCUCAUUAUGCGUACAACAACCUUGUACAUAAUGUGUUGGAAAUUUGAUUACCGAAUUAAAUUAAUUCUAUAAUUAAUUUAAUUCAAGCGACACCCAAAAAAUAAUACCAACUAUGGUUUAUUCCAUUCAUUUCAACUAUAGGGUGUGACCCUGUAGGUUUCUGUAACGUUAGCAGUAAUACUAGAACGAUUCCAAUGUUACAAACAAUGAGUGGCAUCUAGCAAUGCAUCAUUGCUACCUAAGUCACAAGAGAUCAUGAUUCGACAUAACCUUUUAUGAUUAACCUUUUAUGCAAUAAUCCUUAAGUCUUUUAUCUCUGGAUUGGACACAAGUCAUGGAAUAGUCACACUUGUAUAGUCCAUUCCAUGUUCCUUGAUAUCUUAAGUAGACUACGAUAUACAAAUAAGUAUGACAUCUCAUAUCAACUUAUUUGAGCAUGGCUAUGCAUUUCUAGUCUCACUUAAUCAAGUGGCCUAAGAUAUUACUCCCAUUAUGUAGGAGAGACUUAUUCUAUAUCGACCAACCAUAUCCCUCUACAUUGAUUGUGGUAUAUCCAACAUCAGCCUUUAUAGAACUUGUUACGGUGUACGUUUGACUGUAUCAAAUUGUACUACUCACGAUGUUGAGAUUAUGAUGAUCUCAAGUCUGAGGAUCAUAUACAUAUUAAUCAUUAUGAGUAAUGUCGUGACAAUUACAUAAUAAUCCAAGAAACAUACUCAUAAUGGGUCAGUCCAAUAUGUUGUUCUCUAACACACAUAUUCAUGCAUCGAUUCUGACAUUCCAUAUCAAUGAUAACACUUUAUCAUCAAUCAACUACAGGUUAGUCUUAAUGCAUUAUCGUUGUCCUAUCCAAUAAUACUUGACUAAGGAUCUUUUAAGAAUAAUCACAUUAUUCUUAGGACAUUAAUAUAAAACAGUUUAUUUAUACACACAGAAAAGAAACUGAAAUAAUAAUGGUAAUGCCUUAUAUUAAUAAAUAUGAUAAAUCAAGUAUGUUAUUACAACCAUCUCAUGAUUGAUCUUUGGGCAUACUCUAACAUAAGGUACCUUUGAGAUAACAAACAAUCCAUUUUACCGCCUUCCAAUGCUUGUCAAGUGACAUUGCAUGUAGUGACUAACCUUAUUAACAUUAUAGGCAAUAUUAGGGCGUGUAAAGCAAAUGUGUUGGAGAGUACCUGCUGUUUGUCGAUAAAGAGUAAUGUCAAGAAACGGAUCUCCAUCAUAAGCCGUUAAAAGUGAUGUAGUAACCAUCGAAGUUGGUAACAGUGUGGCAUAAUUCAAUUUGAGUUUAUGCAAAAAAUCUAGAACAUGUAUAUAUUUUUACUGAAAACUAGACUAUCAGAUGUGUGAUGAACCUCCAUGCCUAAAAAAUAAUUGAGUUUACCCAAAUCCUUUAGCGAGAAUCGCUCAUGUAGAGCUGAGAUGAUGGAAUCAACAUCAUGCAAGCUGCCACCUGUUACAAUGAUAUUGUCAACAUAAACUGCUAAAUAAAGUUGACCAGCCUACUCCAAAUCGUUAAUGAAUACUGAGGAAUCAGCCUUGGAAGCUCGAAACCUGAGAUACCCAACAAGAAAUGAAGUCAGCUUCUCAAACUAAGCUCGUGGAACUGGCUUGAGCCCAUAGAUUUACUUGUGUAGUCGACAGACCAGUGGAACACCACGCUCAUCACAUUGCUCAAAACCCGGAGGUUGAUCCAUAUAUACUUCUUCAGUAAGAUCUCCCUUCAAGAAGGCAUUAUUAAUAUCAAUUUGUCUGAGUUGCCAAUUGUUGGUCAAUGCCAAAGACACCAAGACACACAUUGUAGGUUGCUUGAUGACCGGACUAAAUGUUUCUUUAUAAUCAAAACCAUUUGCGACGGGCUACCGACCCAUUUGCAUUUUUCUUUGUCUUAAAAAUCCAUUUGCAACCAACAUUGGUUCUAUUAUUCGGAAGAGAAACCAAACUCCAAGUUCCAUUGAAGAUGAGUGCACAGGUUAUGGCCCCUUAAGCCAGGGGUGCACCUACCACCAUGCAC